rnacentral:rRNA from 1 species
GACGAACGCUGGCGGCGUGCUUAACACAUGCAAGUCGAACGGAAAGGCCUUCUUUCCCUUGUGGAUUGCGGGUACUCGAGUGGCGAACGGGUGAGUAACACGUGAGUCAUCUGCCCCCAACUUGGGUAUAAGCCUGGGAAACUGGGUCUAAUUCCCGAUAGGACGGCAGGGUGGUGCCGUUUGUUGAAAACGGUUUUCUCGUGGUUGGGGAUGAGCUGGUGGCCGAUCAGCUUGUUGGUGGGGUAAUGGCCUACGAAGGCGGCGAAGGGUAGCCGGGCUGGGAGGGUGGACGGCGACAGUGGAACGGAGAUACGGCCCAGAGUCCUGCGGGAGGCAGCAGUGGGGAGUAUUGGACAAGGAGAGGGAGCCAGAUGCAGAGACGCGACGUGGGGGAUGCCGGCCUGCGGGUUGUGAACUCCUUUCGACCGCGAGGUAGGCACCUGGUUGGGAGGGUUGUGACGGUAGUGGUAGAAGAAGCACCGGCUAACUACGUG